UACAGAGGUGGCAAGCGUUGUUCGGAAUUACUGGGCGUAAAGGGCUCGUAGGUGGCCAACUAAGUCAGACGUGAAAUCCCUCAGCUUAACUGGGGAACUGCGUCUGAUACUGGAUGGCUUGAGAUUGGGAGAGGGAUGCGGAAUUCCAGGUGUAGCGGUGAAAUGCGUAGAUAUCUGGAGGAACACCGGUGGCGAAGGCGGCAUCCUGGACCAACACUGACACUGAGGAGCGAAAGCCAGGGGAGCAAACGGG
rnacentral:rRNA from 1 species